rnacentral:rRNA from 1 species
CGGGUGAGUAACACGUAUGCAAUCCACCUGUAACAGGGGGAGUAACCCGGAGAAAUCCGGACUAAUACCCCAUAAUAUGGGCGCUCCGCAUGGAGAGUCCAUUAAAGAGAGCAAUCUUGGUUACAGACGAGCAUGCGCUCCAUUAGCCAGUUGGCGGGGUAACGGCCCACCAAGGCGACGAUGGAUAGGGGUUCUGAGAGGAAGGUCCCCCACAUUGGAACUGAGACACGAUCCAA